rnacentral:rRNA from 1 species
UGUUACUAAUCAAUUUAUAAUGUUUUGAAGUAGUAAUUUUUUUAAAAUUUAAUGGAUUUGGCGGCUAGACAGCUUGUUAGAGGAACCUGCCCUGUUAUUGAUAAUCCACAAUUGCCUGGCUUUUUUUUGAGAUAUUCAGUUUGUAUAUCGCUGUUGUUAGUUAGUUUUAAUAAGAAACUUUCAAUUAUAAUAAUAUUAUUGACUUCAAGUAAUGUAGCAGCUUAUAAAAAAGAUAGAGGUGGGUUACAAUGUUAAUACACAUACGGAUAAGUAAUUUAAAAAUGUUUUGAAGGAGGAUUUAAUAGUAAAUUAAUAAAUAAAUUGAUUUUAGCUCUGUCUUGU